rfam:Mus musculus chromosome 1, GRC primary reference assembly.
GGUGGUUCAAUGGUUAAGAACACUGGAUGCUCUUCCAGAGGACCUGGGUUCAAUUCCCAGAACCA